rnacentral:rRNA from 1 species
AACUACUGGAAACGGUAGCUAAUACCGCAUAACGUCGCAAGACCAAAGAGGGGGACCUUCGGGCCUCUUGCCAUCGGAUGUGCCCAGAUGGGAUUAGCUAGUAGGUGGGGUAACGGCUCACCUAGGCGACGAUCCCUAGCUGGUCUGAGAGGAUGACCAGCCACACUGGAACUGAGACACGGUCCAGACUCCUACGGGAGGCAGCAGUGGGGAAUAUUGCACAAUGGGCGCAAGCCUGAUGCAGCCAUGCCGCGUGUAUGAAGAAGGCCUUCGGGUUGUAAAGUACUUUCAGCGGGGAGGAAGGCGACAGGGUUAAUAACCCUGUCGAUUGACGUUACCCGCAGAAGAAGCACCGGCUAACUCCGUGCCAGCAGCCGCGGUAAUACGGAGGGUGCAAGCGUUAAUCGGAAUUACUGGGCGUAAAGCGCACGCAGGCGGUCUGUCAAGUCGGAUGUGAAAUCCCCGGGCUCAACCUGGGAACUGCAUUCGAAACUGGCAGGCUAGAGUCUUGUAGAGGGGGGUAGAAUUCCAGGUGUAGCGGUGAAAUGCGUAGAGAUCUGGAGGAAUACCGGUGGCGAAGGCGGCCCCCUGGACAAAGACUGACGCUCAGGUGCGAAAGCGUGGGGAGCAAACAGGAU